AACAUCCCAGAUUCCUCCCUCUUCAGACCUACACACUGGUCUGAGUGGUUAUCAAAGGAGGAUAUGUGAAAUCAAAAUGGGAUUAACGUCUUUGGUGAGGCACAAGCUAGUUUACAACAAAA
rnacentral:snoRNA from 1 species